AGUGAACGCUGGCGGUAGGCCUAACACAUGCAAGUCGAACGGCAGCACAGUAAGAGCUUGCUCUUACGGGUGGCGAGUGGCGGACGGGUGAGGAAUACAUCGGAAUCUACUUUUUCGUGGGGGAUAACGUAGGGAAACUUACGCUAAUACCGCAUACGACCUACGGGUGAAAGCAGGGGAUCUUCGGACCUUGCGCGAUUGAAUGAGCCGAUGUCGGAUUAGCUAGUUGGCGGGGUAAAGGCCCACCAAGGCGACGAUCCGUAGCUGGUCUGAGAGGAUGAUCAGCCACACUGGAACUGAGACACGGUCCAGACUCCUACGGGAGGCAGCAGUGGGGAAUAGUGGACAAUGGGCGCAAGCCUGAUCCAGCCAUACCGCGUGGGUGAAGAAGGCCUUCGGGUUGUAAAGCCCUUUUGUUGGGAAAGAAAAGCAGCAGGUUAAUACCCCGCUGUUCUGACGGUACCCAAAGAAUAAGCACCGGCUAACUUCGU
rnacentral:rRNA from 1 species